rnacentral:rRNA from 1 species
UGCCUACAAUGCAGUCGAGCGAUGGGCCCUUCGGGGUGGAUUAUCGGCGGACGGGUGGGUAGCUGAUGGGUAACCUGCCUCACAAAGGGGAAUACCCUCCCGAAAGGGAGAUUCAUACCGCUAAAUAUGUUUUAGUCGCAUGAUUGAAACAUCAAAGGAGUAAUCGACUUUGAGAUGGACCCGCGGCGAUGGACCUAGUUGGUGAGGUAACGGCUCACCAGUGCGACCAUGCGUAGGCGACCUGAGAGGGUGAUCGGCCACAUUGGAACUGAGAUACUGUCCAUACUCCUACGGGAGGAAGCCUUGGGGAAUAUUGCGCAAUGGAGGAAACUCUGACGCAGCAACGCCGAGUGAAUGAUGAAGGCCUUAUGGUUGUAAAGUUCUGUUUUCUGGGACGAUAAUGACGGUACCAAAGGAGGAAGCCACGGCUAACUACCUGCCAGCAGCCGCGGUAAUACGUACGUGGCAAGCGUUGUCCGGAUUUACUGGGCGUAAAGGAUGCGUAGGCGGACAUUUAAGUCAGAUGUGAAAUACCCGAGCUUAACUGUGGGUGCUGCAUUUGAAACUGGGUGUCUAGAGUGCAAGAGAGGUAAGGUGGAAUUCCUAGUGUAGACGUGAA